UACGUAGGGUGCAAGCGUUGUCCGGAAUUACUGGGCGUAAAGGGUGCGCAGGCGGCGUCGCAAGUCAGGCGUGAAAUCCCCGGGCUUAACCUGGGAACUGCACUUGAAACUACGAUGCUGGAGUAUGGCAGAGGGAGGUGGAAUUCCACGUGUAGCGGUGAAAUGCGUAGAGAUGUGGAGGAACACCGAUGGCGAAGGCAGCCUCCUGGGCCAAUACUGACGCUCAUGCACGAAAGCGUGGGGAGCAAACAGG
rnacentral:rRNA from 1 species